AGAGUUUGAUCAUGGCUCAGGACGAACGCUGGCGGCGUGCUUAAUACAUGCAAGUCGAGCGCGACAAUUAAAGAGCUUGCUUUUUAAUUGUUGAGCGGCGGACGGGUGAGUAACGCGUGGGCAAUCUGCCUUCUAGUCCGGGAUAACAGAGCGAAAGAGCUGCUAAAACCGGAUAUGCUUCCGGCCAGACAUCUGGCGGGGAGAAAAAGAGAUGCUAGAAGAUGAGCCCGCGUCCCAUUAGCUAGUUGGUGAGGUAACGGCCCACCAAGGCGACGAUGGGUAGCCGACCUGAGAGGGUGAACGGCCACACUGGGACUGAGACACGGCCCAGACUCCUACGGGAGGCAGCAGUAGGGAAUUUUCGGCAAUGGGCGGAAGCCUGACCGAGCAACGCCGCGUGAGGGAAGAAGGUCUUCGGAUCGUAAACCUUUGUCUUUGGGGACGAUAAUGACGGUACCCAAGGAGGAAGCCACGGCUAACUACGUGCCAGCAGCCGCGGUAAUACGUAGGUGGCAAGCGUUGUCCGGAAUUACUGGGCGUAAAGGGCGUGUAGGCGGCAAUUUAAGUCAGACGUGAAAGAUCAGGGCUUAACCUUGGGACUGCGUUUGAAACUGGAUAGCUAGAGGAUCGGAGAGGGCAGUGGAAUUCCCAGUGUAGCGGUGAAAUGCGUAGAUAUUGGGAGGAACACCAGUGGCGAAGGCGACUGCCUGGACGACACCUGACGCUGAGGCGCGAAAGCUAGGGGAGCAAACGGGAUUAGAUACCCUAGUAGUCC
rnacentral:rRNA from 1 species